rnacentral:rRNA from 1 species
CGCGUAGGCGGACCUCUAAGUCGGAUGUGAAACCUGUCGGCUUAACUGACAGCCUGCAUUCGAUACUGGAGGUCUUGAGUACGGAAGAGGAGAGUGGAAUUCCAGGUGUAGCGGUGAAAUGCGUAGAUAUCUGGAAGAACACCAGUAGCGAAGGCGGCUCUCUGGUCCGAUACUGACGCUAAAGCGCGAAGGCUUGGGAGCAAACA